rnacentral:rRNA from 1 species
UACGUAGGGUGCAAGCGUUGUCCGGAAUUAUUGGGCGUAAAGAGCUCGUAGGCGGUCUGUCGCGUCGGCUGUGAAAACCUGAGGCUCAACCUCAGGCCUGCAGUCGAUACGGGCAGACUAGAGUGCGGUAGGGGAGACUGGAAUUCCUGGUGUAGCGGUGAAAUGCGCAGAUAUCAGGAGGAACACCGGUGGCGAAGGCGGGUCUCUGGGCCGUAACUGACGCUGAGGAGCGAAAGCGUGGGGAGCGAACAGG